CGUCUAGGCGGUUCGGUAAGUGGGAUGUGAAAUGCCCGGGCUCACCCCGGGACCUGCAUCCCAAACUGCUGAGCUUGAGUACAGGAGAGGGUAGGGGAAUUCCAGGUGUAGCGGUGAAAUGCGUAGAUAUCUGGAGGAACACCGGUGGCGAAGGCGCCUACCUGGCCUGUUACUGACGCUGAAGCGCGAAAGCUAGGGGAAGGCAAACG
rnacentral:rRNA from 1 species